UACGGAGGGUGCAAGCGUUGUCCGGAUUUAUUGGGUUUAGAGGGUGCGCAGGUGGGUAUUUAAGUCUGGUUUGAAAACAGGUGGCUCAACCAUCUGAUGUGGCUGGAAACUGGAUAUCUUGAAUGGGUUGGCGGUAGCCGGAAUGGGUCAUGUAGCGGUGAAAUGCAUAGAUAUGACCCGGAACACCGAUUGCGAAGGCAGGCUACUACGACUUGAUUGACACUGAGGCACGAGAGCAUGGGUAGCGAACAGG
rnacentral:rRNA from 1 species